rnacentral:rRNA from 1 species
UGGGGAAUUUUGGACAAUGGGCGAAAGCCUGAUCCAGCAAUGCCGCGUGUGUGAAGAAGGCCUUCGGGUUGUAAAGCACUUUUGUCCGGAAAGAAAUCCUUGGCUCUAAUACAGUCGGGGGAUGACGGUACCGGAAGAAUAAGCACCGGCUAACUACGUGCCAGCAGCCGCGGUAAUACGUAGGGUGCAAGCGUUAAUCGGAAUUACUGGCGUAAAGCGUGCGCAGGCGGUUUGCUAAGACCGAUGUGAAAUCCCCGGGCUCAACCUGGGAACUGCAUUGGUGACUGGCAGGCUAGAGUAUGGCAGAGGGGGGUAGAAUUCCACGUGUAGCAGUGAAAUGCGUAGAGAUGUGGAGGAAUACCGAUGGCGAAGGCAGCCCCCUGGGCCAAAUACUGACGCUCAUGCACGAAAAGCGUGGGGAGCAAAACAGGAUUAGAUACCCUGGUAGUCCACGCCCCUAAAACGAUGUCAACUAGUUGUUGGGGAUUCAUUUCCUUAGUAACGUAGCUAACGCGUGAAGUUGACCGCCUGGGGAGUACGGUCGCAAGAUUAAAAACUUAAAUGAAUUGACGGGGUCAUAGCUGUUUCCU